GUUUUGGUUGUCAUUAAUCAGACCAGUAAACAAUUGUGCUAUUUUGAUUCAUUGAAACAUGGUGAUCGGAACAAGUACACCAUUAUGAAAAAAAAUUAAUAAGUAAGUGAACUACUCAUUUAAACUUUCUGAUAUUUGGUUCACUUUCAUACCUGUUUUGUUAUCAUGUAUAGUAUUUUCUAUUGUUUAGGGCACUUGAUAUAUAUAAAGCCCAAAAUAUUCGUACUAAAUCUGCAUCAAACAUCGGAUGGACUCAUGUAAAGACCCCUUGUCAAACCAAUGACAAAGGUUGCAGCUAUUAUGUGAUGAUCUUCAUGAAGGAGGACAUUAGGCAAUGGCCAAAUCAAGUCCAGUUUAAUUUAGAUUCAUUUAC